GACCCGUCUUGAACCACGGAGUCUAACAUGUGUGCAAGUCAUUGGGUAUAUAAAACCUAAAGGCAUAAUUAACUUAACUGUUAUAUAUGGGAUCAUAUAUAUAUAUAUGUUUAUUAUAUAUAUAUUCCAUCCCGGGACGUUCUAUAUAGUUAUGCAUUUUAAUAUAUUUUAUAUAUUAUAUAUGCCUCUAACUAGAACUAGAGCGUACCUUGAGCAUAUAUGUUGUGACCCGAAAGAUGGUGAACUAUACCUGAUCAGGUUGAAGUCAGGGGAAACCCUGAUGGAAGACCGAAACAGUUCUGACGUGCAAAUCGAUUGUCAGAAUUGGGUAUAGGGGCGAAAGACCAAUCGAACCAUCUAGUAGCUGGUUCCUUCCGA
rnacentral:rRNA from 1 species